CAGUCGCCACGGGAAUACGGAGGGUGCAAGCGUUAAUCGGAAUUACUGGGCGUAAAGCGCACGCAGGCGGUCUGACAAGUCAGAUGUGAAAUCCCCGGGCUUAACCUGGGAACUGCAUUUGAAACUGUCAGGCUGGAGUCUUGUAGAGGGGGGUGGAAUUCCAGGUGUAGCGGUGAAAUGCGUAGAGAUCUGGAGGAAUACCGGUGGCGAAGGCGGCCCCCUGGACAAAGACUGACGCUCAGGUGCGAAAGCGUGGGGAGCAAACAGGAUUAGAGACCCCGGUAGUCCCUGUCUCUUAUAC
rnacentral:rRNA from 1 species